GCCUAGCUAGCUCAAUCGGUAGAGCGUGUGACUCUUAAAAUCCAGAAACAGGAAAUAAAGUCAUCACAAGGUUGGGGGUUCGACCCCCCCGUUGGGCU
rnacentral:tRNA from 1 species